ACUCUAAUGAGACUGCCGGUGCAAACCGAGGAAGUGGGGAUGACGUCAAGUCCUCAUGGCCCUUAUGGGUAGGGCUUCACACGUCAUACAAUGGUCGGUACAGAGGGUUGCCAACCCGCAGGGGGAGCUAAUCCCACAAAGCCGAUCGUAGUCCGGAUCGCAGUCUGCAACUCGACUGCGUGAAGUCGGAAUCGCUAGUAAUCGUGGAUCAGCAUGUCACGGUGAAUACGUUCCCGGGUCUU
rnacentral:rRNA from 1 species